CCACCCCUGUUCACUUUGCCAAUUGGACUUCAUGUCUUCACUGGCCAUUCAAGUGGGGUAAAGGAAAUAGCCUUUUAAAAACUCAGGCAAAGUCUUGUAACCUGUCAGGGGUGACAUUG